rnacentral:misc_RNA from 1 species
UUUCCGUAGGUGAACCUGCGGAAGGAUCAUUAAAAAAUUUUCAGGGGGUUCCAUGCUGGCAUCCAAUUUUUCGAUGUAAGUGCUUUCCCUAACAAUCAUCUUCCAAACACCCGUGCCCAUGUUGGAGGCAGUGUUGAGUUUGUUGCCUCUCUUGGGUGAUUUUCGCACAUUCCCUGAAAGCAUUAUACGCGAUUAACAAUGUGGAACGUGCUCUGUGCCCCAAGGCCAUUAAUAUAAUACAACUUUCAACAACGGAUCUCUUGGCUCUC